CAUAUUACCAUUCUACUCGCUGCUUCUUAACAACUUUAUUCUUCUUUACAUAUUCAUCAUUUUAAAAGCCAUCUGUGGAAAUCUUCCUAGAAAAUUACCCCCUGAAGGAACACACUGCUAAUUCAGCUGAUGGAGUCCAGGUUGCCCACCCAAGCUCAUCUCAGACAGCAGUGAAUUUCAACACCAUUGUGAAAAUGGGGCGGCAACAUGAGGUCAGAAGCCCCUGCUAAAGAUGGCAGAGUGGAAAGGAGAAUGCCCGGGACACUGACCCUAUUGUGAAACCAGAGCCCUAAGACUGUCUACCUGCAAACUUCUUGUUACAUGAGCAAAAAUAUAAUAUAUAUUAGAGGAUAAAUAAGCUUGGAAGAAAUAUAUACAAAACACAUUUCUCUUGUUAAGUGGCUGAUAUAAGGGCAGAAGACAUAUGGGAAGGACAGCAGAGCAGAAUGAUAGAAGGUACCAGGGGCAUGUUGAUGUCCUCUGGUCACUGCACAAGCCCCGGACUGUGAAACCCACACUUUUUCUUAUGUAAACAAGAAGAAGAAGAAAAAAUCACUAUUUGGUUUAGUUACCAAGGUGAAGACAUGACAAUCAAGGAUUGUGGUGCUGAUUCUUUACUUAACAACUAGAUGGAAUUUCAAUGCCAGCCUUUACAGGAAAUAAAGAAAUAAAGCUAUUUCAGAGGAAAUUCAACAAAUGCAGCAAAUUCUACUGAGGCCAAUUAUUACAGCUCCAUAAGCUAACACCAGCCUUGAAUGGAACUCUUUAGGAUAAGAAAUAAUUACAUGAUUUCAGAUUGCACUGUUUGCUGAUUUGUGGUUAGUAUCUACUGAGGAGAGAGAUUCAGCAGUAAAGGCUGGGAGAUUAUCACAUACAUGUCCACAUGUUACAAAACACUUUGCAAUAUCAAAUUUCUGGAGAAUGAGAAGCCCAAGAUCAAGAUUGUAGCAGAUUUGGUAUCUGGUGAAAGCCCACUUCCUGAUUCAUAGGUGACCAUCUUCUUGCUGUGUCCUCAUAUGGCAGAAAAGCAAUGAAUGAGAGUUCCUGUUGCUCCACAUCCUCACCAGAAUUUAGUGUUGUCAGCGUUCUGGAUUUUGGUCAUUCUAAUAGAGGACCUCUGAAGGCAUGGCAUGCAUGUUGGAAUCUCUGAUUUUAAUGGAAGAGUCAACACAUGUUUACCACUAUUGGUUCUUUUUCUGCUCAAGAAUUGUGACUACAAAAAUAUCAUUUCACAAAGACCAACAAGAUAGGAACUGAAUGAUCUUGGACUUUCAAAAUCUCUCAUCCACGGUGGCACUAAGCAUCUGGUGACAAGCUGAAGAAUCCUGUAAAGUGUUCAGAUGGUUCAAAUAGUCACAUAAAAAAAAAAUAAACUCAU